CAAUAGCGUAUAUUAAAGUUGUUGCAGUUAAAACGCUCGUAGUCGGAUUUCGGGGCGGGCCGACCGGUCUGCCGAUGGGUAUGCACUGGCCGGCGCGUCCUUCCUUCCGGAGACCGUGCCUACUCUUAACUGAGCGGGUUCGGGAGACGGAUCGUUUACUUUGAAAAAAUCAGAGUGUUCAAGCAGGCAGCUCGCUCUUGCAUGGAUUAGCAUGGGAUAAUGGAAUAGGACGCUGGUUCUAUUUUGUUGGUUUUGAGAACCAGAGUAAUGAUUAAUAGGGACAGUGGGGGCAUUCAUAUUUCAUUGUCAGAGGUGAAAUUCUUGGAUUUAUGAAAGAUGAACUUCUGCGAAAGCAUUUGCCAAGGAUGUUUUCAUUAAUCAAGAACGAAAGUUAGGGGAUCGAAGAUGAUCAGAU
rnacentral:rRNA from 1 species